AUCUAAAGACAUCUUGGCUAUGCUGUUGAACCCACCACUGAUUGCUGCAUUUGCGAUUGGUGCAGCCUUCUCAGCCACCAUCUGUUGUAUCUUCCUGUGUUUGACAGGGAAAUGUAAAAGAUGCAAAGAGAGGAUCCCAAAGGACUCAGACUCCAAAAGCCCUAUAACGAACCUGGAGAUGGUGGCAUGUGAAGACCAACAGAUGGAUGCAGGACGGGCUGUGCGGGGCGAACAGACCCCUCUACAGGUGGUGCUGAUGGAGGGAGCUGAAAACACAGGACCCCAGACCAGUGGAGCUGCAGGAAACUCUGCCAAAGGGGAAGAACCAAAAGAUGUGCACUACGCCGCUAUCAACUACUCCCAACUGAAGAAGACUUCUGAGGAGGCAGAAAAAAGACCACCACAACAGAGUCAGAGUACGCCAAAAUCAAACGAGAGAAUAAGAAAGAAGGGAUGAAGAUGGAGGAGAGGGGAGUGGAGUGAUGGACGAGGAGGAGAACGAGCCAGCAGCAGAGACAGAUGAAAAUACAGCGCUUUACUCCAAUUUCAAGGCUAUUAUGGGUGGUGAGUGACAAAGCAAUUUUCGCUAGAAACGUGGGGGAUAGCAUGCAGCAUUAUAUAGCCAUGUGUUCUUAUAUCAUUUCCUGAAUCCAGAUUGAAAGUUUUAUGUUGAUACUGGGACUUUUGUUCAACUGAAACUACUGUAGUUUUGGUGUUGUUUCCUCAUGUGCUGAAUCAAGUUGGAAUGUUUUAUGAUAAUACAGAGACAUUGUAUAAUAACUGAAACUACUGUAGUUAAUAGUUUUGGUAAAUGAUUUAUUUUACAGCCCUGUGUCAGAUGGUACUGUAUGUAUCUGGUGGUUUUACAUUUUCAAUAAGAAUAUUUUCUAGUUGUACAUAGAAGCAAGUUUUGGUAAUGUUUUUGUAAAGUUUUUCAAGGAAGUGUCAUUUUACUUUUGUAAUGAUUGUGUUUUGUCACCAGGUGGAAGGACUGACAAAGAUGUGGUUUGGAAAAGUAGAGGGGUCAAACCAUUUCUUUUUUUCCUCCUCUUUCCUUUCAUUUUAGCAUUUUGAUUUGACAAGUGGGUGGGGAUAUUAGGUAGUAUGUGUGGAUGUAAUCAAUAUAUUUCUGUAAAUACUGUUCUUAUACACUGGCGAAAAUGUUGGCAAAAUGUUAUUAAGAAUUCUCAUUUUGGGCUAGCCAGAGAGCUCAAAUGAAAUGAAUCAAGAAAAAAAGUACAUCAUGCUUUUAAAGGUUGUGUGCUAUAGACAGGUUGGUUGAUUAGCAACAAAACAGAUGCGUGCACAACUAUGGGGUAAAACAGACGGGUUGGCUUAGAUUGUUGACAACAUGUAAACUAUAUUUAGUCUCCAGUGUUUGAAAAUAUAAAUACAUUUGUACAAUGAGCACGGUGUUUCUGAAAUACAUUGGUUAGCUAUGUAGCAUUUUUUUGUGC
rnacentral:lncRNA from 1 species